UAAGUGACUUGUACAACGUUAUGUAGGUAGAUCAAGGCAGAGCCACAACUCGAAGGUCUACGUUCCUUGCUCAUUUCACUGCUCCUUAUCUGCCCAUGCAGCCUGCAGAACAUCACCAGCUACACUCCUCCAUCUCACAAUCCUCCUCAGCAAAGCCACGCACAGCUCAUUGAAGCUGUCCAGUGCAGCACUGGUUAUGCUGCCUUUGAGUGUCAGAUCUGAAGAGAACAC